rnacentral:rRNA from 1 species
UUGUAGCCUGCUAUGGUAUAACUUAGUGGCAGACGGGUGAGUAAUGUAUAGGAAUCUACCUAGUAGUACGGAAUAAUUGUUGGAAACGGCAACUAAUACCGUAUACGCCCUACGGGGGAAAAAUUUAUUGCUAUUAGAUGAGCCUAUAUUAGAUUAGCUAGUUGGUGGAGUAAUAGCCUACCAAGGCAAUGAUCUAUAGCUGAUCUGAGAGGAUGAUCAGCCACACUGGAACUGAGAUACGGUCCAGACUUCUACGGGAGGCAGCAGUGGGGAAUAUUGGACAAUGGGCGAAAGCCUGAUCCAGCCAUGUCGCAUGAGUGAAGAAGGCCUUUGGGUUGUAAAGCUCUUUUAGUGAGGAAGAUAAUGACGGUACUCACAGAAGAAGUCCUGGCUAACUCCGUGCCAGCAGCCGCGGUAAUACGGAGAGGGCUAGCGUUAUUCGGAAUUAUUGGGCGUAAAGGGCGCGUAGGCUGAUUAAUAAGUUAAAAGUGAAAUCCCAAGGCUUAACCUUGGAAUUGCUUUUAAAACUAUUAAUCUAGAGAUUGAAAGAGGAUAGAGGAAUUCCUGAUGUAGAGGUAAAAUUCGUAAAUAUUAGGAGGAACACCAGUGGCGAAGGCGUCUAUCUGGUUCAAAUCUGACGCUGAGGCGCGAAGGCGUGGGGAGCAAACAGGAUUGGAUACCCUGGUAGUCCACGCUGUAAACGAUGAAUGUUAAAUAUGGGAAGUUUACUUUCUGUAUUACAGCUAACGCGUUAAACAUUCCGCCUGGGGACUACGGUCGCAAGAUUAAAACUCAGAGGAAUUGACGGGGACCCGCACAAGCGGUGGAGCAUGUGGUUUAAUUCGAUGCAACGCGAAAAACCUUACCACUUCUUGACAUGAAAAAUCAUACCUAUUC